ACCUGGUAACGUUGACGCGUCUAGUUUGCGCAAUGGCAUGCGAUAACGAUUGUAGGUAUCAUUAUAAACAGUUCCGAUUUUCGUGUUUACGCAAAAGCUAGAUGGAAACAAAGAUAAAUUUGGCUCGUGUUAAUUUUGAAAUGUCCCAGGAAUAAUUGCAAAUAUGCACUAUUAUGCAUCUAAUGCAACAAAUAUGAUAAUAACUACAACCUACAACUUCAAAUCACCAGAGAGAAAUUGAAAAUGGCCGAUAAACUGUCCGAAGAAAAAUUGUGAAUUACGUUAAAGUAUUUAAUUAAUUACCAUUAAUCUACCAUUCAUUAUUAUGUUGUUAUAUUAUAUUACUUGCGUGAUUUAUCAGUAUUACCAAUUAACUUUAACGUAAUUUCCAUAACCAAUUUUAUAAUUAUAAGAAGUCAUUUCAUUUGAUUGCAGUUAUUUCAUGGUUAAUCUUGGGCAUUAUUAACAUGGGACAUUUUUGUGCUCUGCUCUCACCAUUGUCAUGAAUUGUCUACUUGGAAGAAAAUGUUGCAUGGUCAUUCCAUUAAAGGAUUCACGUAGGAAUAGAUUUUUGUCUUGCCUAUGUUAAAUAAGUUGUCCUGUGGCAGUAACCUAGGGAGACAUUUCAUAUUCUUUCUAAAUCUUAAUGGAACUUGUUGUCAAGAGGCUUUACAAUAAUACCGAAGGGCAUAAAAAUGGUCUGUGCCAAGAUGUUAUAUUAUUAAUGGUGUGAAAAGUUGUCCUUUACCUAUAAUACCUUCCACACUAGUGGGAAACCUGUGAGACUUACUUUGGUAUCAAGAAGUUUUGCAAAUGACUUCCUCUCCUGGAAAGUGAAGUGGUUUGCUGAAGAAUGAGCUUGUGGCAUGUAAUUGGCUUCUGUUUGGACACGUUAGGAGUUAUAAGACUAAGAGAUUGCCCAACAAAUGAAAAGGAAUUGCAGUUAACUUUGAUGCUACUGAAACAAGCGUUGCAUCUCUGCUAUGGUGUUUUAUCUGUUAGCUUUACAUCUUGGAAACUGUUAUAGUUAAUUAAUUAAGGUGAGCAUAC